GAGCAUUUCUUCUAAAAAUCAAGACAUUAAUGAAGUUUUUAUCAUAAGUAUUAACGGAGAUAUUAACAUUAACAUGAGUAAAGGCAUACCAAAAAUAUACCCAAGAAUCAUCCCCCAAAAUACUUUUAUCUCAUUCCGGGACACCCUGUAUAUAGCACUAUACCUGAUGUAAAGCGCUCAGUCCUUCAAUCAAACCCCUUCGAUUGACAAGCCAGGAAUGUCAAAACAUUAUUCUUUCCAUUUUACACCUAAGACUUAAAUUAAAUUAAUUUAGUUCCUCUACCACCACAAAAACAUGCCGCUCCAAUCAAAUAUUCAUUGUCUCAGUCUGGAAUAUUGUUCCGCUUCUGUUGCAAUGUUAAUGACAGAGUCUUUGAUGAUUAGAAAAUUAUACAAAACAACCAAUACUGAAAAUAGAAGUUUUCGGUAUUUUUUACUCUUUCUCGUAAAAUUUAAAUUGACAGCAAAGCAAUUUGACAGAAAAUUUUCUCUGCUAAUCAAAUGUCAUUAAGAUUUUCUUUUCAAAACUCCGGUAGCCAAAGAUACAAGAAAAAAAAGCCAAAGAAUUCACAUCGAUUCGUCUUAAAAAAUAAUAAAAAUAAAAGAAAAAAA